rfam:Gossypium arboreum cultivar AKA8401 contig_114521_1, whole genome shotgun sequence.
GAGUGCAAUUAUACCAGCACUAAUGCGUGGGAUCCCAUCAGAACUCCGUAGUGAAGCGUGCUUGGGUGAGAGUAGUACUAGGAUGGGUGUCCUCCUAGGAAGUCAUCGUGUUGCACCCC